CCGCGACUAGCGACUUGCCUUUGAACGCUGGAGUCACUCGCCAGCUGCCUCCUGUCAGACGGGCCGUGGGCACGUGAACCUGGCUGGGUGGCGACAGGAAGGCCAAGGGGGAAGUUCCAGGUUCCAUAAACAAGCACCAUCCUCACUAGCAGCAUUUCUUGGCCCCCGUGGACUCCCAGCCACUCAUCUGCUGUCUU